UAUGCCUUUGUCUUUGUGUGGUAAGAUGUGAGUUUCGUCGGUCUGGGAAUGAUUUGGUUUACAUGACUGGGUGCAGACCAAAUUCAAACAUAACAACCCUGUGAGGUAACAAUAUUAUGACCUCCAUUUUACAUUACCUCAGAAGGAACUCAAGCAAAGAGGAACUGAGUGGUUUAUCCACGGUCACACAGCAGUGAUAGAGCCAUAAUCUGAACCCAGUUAUUUCAUGGACCAUUACAGCCAGAAGAUACUGAAUUUUCAGACAAUUUCCCCUAAAUGACCCUUAACUUAUGGAAGGCGUCAUGUCCCUAUGACUUGAAUCACCUCUCCAGGGCUCCAAAGCCCAGAAUUAAGUUGAGCAGCAACAGAAGCUUUCUAUGGAAACGUUUCUCUUCCUCAGACAAGAUAAAGGCAUCAUCAGCAGACAGACCCUGUGUGUCCAGGGCCAGGCAAAAUUGCCAUUUCCAACAGAAAGCUGUCCUGCUUUUUGGGAAAACAAUGGCUGAAGAACAGCUUCCUUCACAUUCAAAGAAGAUGCUAGUCUAAUUGAAUUUCUUGCAGGCAAGAAUCAAGAGUGGAUCUGGCUUUGGUACCAAUUCAGUGUGAAGUUUGUUGUGGUGGCCACAAAAAUGCACCUCACAGUCUUCCAAAUACAAGGAGAGUAAUUGUUCAGGAACCUGAAUGCUGCACCCUGCAUCUAUAGCCUCCUUUGCAUUCUGGCCAUACCUCCUAUGAGCUGCUCCAGCCAAUGACUGAGUGUGGCUAGGAAACUAAGGCAAGACCAUUGCUAGAAGAUGUGGGACUCAGCUGACAGCUGACUCUGGCUGGCUCAAGGACUCCCUGUUGGCCUUGCUGAAUCUUCCUUGGAUGGCACAAGAGACUAGGACACUUCCACCCAACUUUCUCUUGCUCUCUUUUUCAUUCAGAAUCAGAUUUUCUUUCUGGUCAAAUGCCUCUUCCAUCUUUUUUCUGGCUCCCUCCCCAUUUCACUCACUGACACAGUCAUUUCCCCUAAUAAAAUCUUUGCAUUUCCCCUAAUAAAGUCCCCUAAUAAAAUCUUUAAUCUCGGGCGCCUGGGUGGCUCAGUUGGUUAAGCGACUGCCUUCGG